CGGGGCGUAGCGCAGUCUGGUUAGCGCGUCUGUUUUGGGAGCAGAAGGCCCCCGGUUCAAAUCCGGGCGCCCCGA
rnacentral:tRNA from 4 species